rnacentral:rRNA from 1 species
AGAGUUUGAUCAUGGCUCAGAACGAACGCUGGCGGCGUGCCUAACACAUGCAAGUCGUACGAGAAAUCCUGGGCAACUGGGAGAGUAAAGUGGCGCACGGGUGAGUAACGCGUGGGUAACCUACCCUUGAACUGGGGAUAACUCCUCGAAAGGGGAGUUAAUACCGAAUAAUAUUCCAGUUCCCACGGGAGUUGGAAUCAAAGGUGGCCUCUGCAUGCAAGCUAUCGUUUAAGGAUGGGCCCGCGUGCCAUUAGCUAGUUGGUAGGGUAAUGGCCUACCAAGGCAACGAUGGUUAGCUGGUCUGAGAGGAUGGCCAGCCACACUGGAACUGAGACACGGUCCAGACUCCUACGGGAUGCAGCAGUCAGGAAUAUUGCGCAAUGGAGGAAACUCUGACGCAGCGACGCCGCGUGGGUGAUGAAGGCCUUCGGGUCGUAAAGCCCUGUCGGAGGGGAAGAAAAGUCUGUUGGCUAAUAUCCAGCGGACCUUUGACGGUACCCGCAGAAGAAGCACCGGCUAACUACGUGCCAGCAGCCGCGGUAAUACGUAGGGUGCGAGCGUUAAUCGGAAUUACUGGGCGUAAAGCGUGCGUAGGCGGUUCUGCAAGUCAGAUGUGAAAUCCCCGGGCUUAACCUGGGAACUGCGUUUGAAACUACGGAGCUAGAAUGCGGCAGAGGGGGGUGGAAUUCCACGUGUAGCAGUGAAAUGCGUAGAUAUGUG